rnacentral:rRNA from 1 species
CUGGCUCAGGAUGAACGCUGGCGGCGUGCCUAAUACAUGCAAGUCGAGCGAACAGAUAAGGAGCUUGCUCCUUUGACGUUAGCGGCGGACGGGUGAGUAACACGUGGAUAACCUACCUAUAAGACUGGGAUAACUUCGGGAAACCGGAGCUAAUACCGGAUAACAUAUUGAACCGCAUGGUUCAAUAGUGAAAGGCGGCUUUGCUGUCACUUAUAGAUGGAUCCGCGCCGUAUUAGCUAGUUGGUAAGGUAACGGCUUACCAAGGCAACGAUACGUAGCCGACCUGAGAGGGUGAUCGGCCACACUGGAACUGAGACACGGUCCAGACUCCUACGGGAGGCAGCAGUAGGGAAUCUUCCGCAAUGGGCGAAAGCCUGACGGAGCAACGCCGCGUGAGUGAUGAAGGUCUUCGGAUCGUAAAACUCUGUUAUCAGGGA